UUGAACGCUGGCGGCAUGCCUUACACAUGCAAGUCGAACGGUAACAGGUCUUCGGAUGCUGACGAGUGGCGAACGGGUGAGUAAUACAUCGGAACGUGCCCGAUCGUGGGGGAUAACGCAGCGAAAGCUGUGCUAAUACCGCAUACGACCUGAGGGUGAAAGCGGGGGACCUGCAAGGGCCUCGCGCGAUGGGAGCGGCCGAUAUCGGAUUAGCUAGUUGGUGAGGUAAAGGCUCACCAAGGCGACGAUCCGUAGCGGGUCUGAGAGGACGACCCGCCACACUGGAACUGAGACACGGUCCAGACUCCUACGGGAGGCAGCAGUGGGGAAUUUUGGACAAUGGGGGAAACCCUGAUCCAGCCAUUCCGCGUGAGUGAAGAAGGCCUUCGGGUUGUAAAGCUCUUUCAGCAGGAACGAAACGGUAGGCUUUAAUACAGUCUGCUAAUGACGGUACCUGCAGAAGAAGCACCGGCUAACUACGU
rnacentral:rRNA from 1 species